rnacentral:tRNA from 1 species
UCACCCGUCUACCCCGAAGGAGAUAUAAGUAUUUCGUCCGGAGGUGUCGCAUUUCUGGAAGAAGUCUCCCGACU